rnacentral:sRNA from 1 species
UGGACUCGUCGCGGUGUCUCAUGCAGCAGGGCAUCAAGGCCGGGGACAUACUCUGGCUGCGCUUCAAGUACUACAGCUUCUUCGAUUUGGAUCCCAAGACAGACCCCGUGCGGCUGACACAGCUGUAUGAGCAGGCCCGAUGGGACCUGCUGCUGGAGGAGAUUGACUGCACCGAGGAGGAGAUGAUGGUGUUUGCCGCCCUGCAGUACCACAUCAACAAGCUGUCCCAGAGCGGGGAGGUGGGGGAGCCGGCUGGCACAGACCCAGGGCUGGACGACCUGGAUGCGGCCCUGAGCAACCUGGAGGUGAAGCUGGAGGGGUCGGCGCCCACGGAUGUGUUGCCUCACCACCAUCCCAGAGCUCAAGGACCAUCUCCGAAUCUUCCGGCCCCGGAAGCUGACCCUGAAGGGCUACCGCCAGCACUGGGUGGUGUUCAAGGAGACCACACUGUCCUACUACAAGAGUCAGGACGAGGCUCCUGGGGACCCCAUUCAGCAGCUCAACCUCAAGGGCUGUGAGGUGGUUCCCGAUGUUAACGUCUCCGGCCAGAAGUUCUGCAUUAAACUCCUAGUGCCCUCCCCUGAGGGCAUGAGUGAGAUCUACCUGCGGUGCCAGGAUGUGAGUGAGGGCUGGGCAGGGGCCAGGGCUGGGCAGGAGCUGGGGCAGGGGCAGGGGCUGAGGAGCAUCAAGCUUGGUUAGCACUGUCCCCCUCACCCCUCUCGCCCAGGAGCAGCAGUAUGCCCGCUGGAUGGCUGGCUGCCGCCUGGCCUCCAAAGGCCGCACCAUGGCCGACAGCAGCUACACCAGUGAGGUGCAGGCUAUUCUGGCCUUCCUCAGCCUGCAGCGCACCGGCGGCGGGGGCCCGGGCAACCAUCCCCAGGGCCCUGAUG